CUCUUGAUUUAAAGUCUUUAUUAAUCAGCAUUCAAUAAAAAUGUCCCAUAAUGCACCGAACAAUCUCAUAUUCUAUAAAUAUAUAUAUAUAUAUCGUAGCAUAGCAGGUUUCAGUUUUGCAUAGGUCUCUGUACUAGAGAAGUCGUCCCUGAAUACUCAGCCUCUUAAUCAUUCUGUCCUUGCUGUAAUGGAAUGCACUGACUUCCUGCUGAGCUUGUGCUUAUACACAGCAGCCAAUGUGGACCAAAGCAGAGCUGCAGUGCAAAGCAUGUGGGCGAGGAGCCACAGAGAAGCAACCUAAAGCUGUGAGGUGUCAGGAGGUAAAUUUCCAACUAUGACUUACUCCAACAGACAAUGCAACUAAGCUGGAGUCACUGAUUGAUCAUAGCUGCGCCCAAAUGUAACAUGGCUAAAAAAAAGCCAGGGCUAAAGAUGGCUGCUGCCACCACUGGGGGGAGCUCUUUGGUAAUCUAUAAUAUGGAUUUAUUAUGGGUUUAUAUGCAGCAAGCUGCCACCACUAGGGGGAGCUCUUUGGUAAUCUAUAAUAUAAAUUUAUAUGCAGCAAGCUGCCCUUUGUGAUGGUUGCCAGGCAGCAGCCAUUGUGGGAGGUCUCGCCUAUCUUGGGAGAGGAGACGUAUAUGCUCUUGUGGCGCUAAUCUACACCCUCAUUGUAAUAUUUGGUUUAUGCAGGAAGGAAUGUCAAGGCAUUUUGGUUGAAGGCAAUCAGGUGAUUACAGGUGAAUAGUAACGACACUACAGCUCCGAGGGCACUAUCCUAUAUACCAGGGAUGUUCAACCUGCGGCCAUCCAGUUGUUGCAAAGCUACAACUCCCAGCAUGCCUUGUUAGCUAUAGGCUCUCCAGGCAAGCUGGAGGGCCGCAGGUUGGGCAUCCCUGCUAUGUACCAACAUCAGUGUGUAUUCGAGGAUCAAGUCUUCUAAAGACGUGUCCUAUA